GACGAACGCUGGCGGCGUGCUUAACGCAUGCAAGUCGAACGGAAAGGCCCCUUUGGGGGUCCUCGAGUGGCGCACGGGUGAGUAACACGUGAGUAACCUGCCCUUGACUUCGGGAUAACUUCAGGAAACUGGGGCUAAUACCGGAUAGGAAUCCUUGCUGCAUGGUGGGGGUUGGAAAGCUUCGGCGGUUUUGGAUGGACUCGCGGCUUAUCAGCUUGUUGGUGGGGUAGUGGCUUACCAAGGCUUUGACGGGUAGCCGGCCUGAGAGGGCGACCGGCCACAUUGGGACUGAGAUACGGCCCAGACUCCUACGGGAGGCAGCAGUGGGGAAUAUUGCACAAUGGGCGGAAGCCUGAUGCAGCAACGCCGCGUGCGGGAUGACGGCCUUCGGGUUGUAAACCGCUUUCAGCAGGGGCGAAGCUUGUGGUGACGGUACCUGCAGAAGAAGCACCGGCUAACUACGUG
rnacentral:rRNA from 1 species